rnacentral:rRNA from 2 species
UAUAGAUUUACAUUUGAGUGAGUGGCGAACUGGUGAGUAACACGUGGGAAACCUGCCCAGAAGCGGGGGAUAACACCUGGAAACAGAUGCUAAUACCGCAUAACAACUUGGACCGCAUGGUCCGAGCUUGAAAGAUGGCUUCGGCUAUCACUUUUGGAUGGUCCCGCGGCGUAUUAGCUAGAUGGUGGGGUAACGGCUCACCAUGGCAAUGAUACGUAGCCGACCUGAGAGGGUAAUCGGCCACAUUGGGACUGAGACACGGCCCAAACUCCUACGGGAGGCAGCAGUAGGGAAUCUUCCACAAUGGACGAAAGUCUGAUGGAGCAACGCCGCGUGAGUGAAGAAGGGUUUCGGCUCGUAAAACUCUGUUGUUAAAGAAGAACAUAUCUGAGAGUAACUGUUCAGGUAUUGACGGUAUUUAACCAGAAAGCCACGGCUAACUACGUGCCAGCARCMGMGGUAAUACGUAGGYGGCAAGCGUUGUCCGGAUUUAWUGGGCGUAAARCGAGCGCAGGCGGUUUUUUAAGUCUGAUGUGAAAGCCUUCGGCUCAAMCGAAGAAAGUGCAUCGGAAACUGGAAAACUGAGUGCAGAAGAGGACAGUGGAACUCCAUGUGUAGCGKUGAAAUGCGUAGAUAUAUGGAAGAACASCAGUGGCKAAGGCGGCUGUCUGGUCUGUAMCUGACGCUGAGSCUCGAAAGUAUGGGUAGCAAACAGGAUUAGAUACCCUGGUAGUCCAUACCGUAAACGAUGAAUGCUAAGUGUUGGAGGGUUUCCGCCCUUCAGUGCUGCAGCUAACGCAUUAAGCAUUCCGCCUGGGGAGUACGGCCGCAAGGCUGAAACUCAAAGGAAUUGACGGGGGCCCGCACAAGCGGUGGAGCAUGUGGUUUAAUUCGAAGCUACGCGAAGAACCUUACCAGGUCUUGACAUACUAUGCAAAUCUAAGAGAUUAGACGUUCCCUUCGGGGACAUGGAUACAGGUGGUGCAUGGUUGUCGUCAGCUCGUGUCGUGAGAUGUUGGGUUAAGUCCCGCAACGAGCGCAACCCUUAUUAUCAGUUGCCAGCAUUAAGUUGGGCACUCUGGUGAGACUGCCGGUGACAAACCGGAGGAAGGUGGGGAUGACGUCAAAUCAUCAUGCCCCUUAUGACCUGGGCUACACACGUGCUACAAUGGAUGGUACAACGAGUUGCGAACUCGCGAGAGUAAGCUAAUCUCUUAAAGCCAUUCUCAGUUCGGAUUGUAGGCUGCAACUCGCCUACAUGAAGUCGGAAUCGCUAGUAAUCGCGGAUCAGCAUGCCGCGGUGAAUACGUUCCCGGGCCUUGUACACACCGCCCGUCACACCAUGAGAG